rnacentral:rRNA from 1 species
ACUCGAGUGGCGAACGGGUGAGUAACACGUGGGUGAUCUGCCCUGCACUUCGGGAUAAGCUUGGGAAACUGGGUCUAAUACCGGAUAGGAGCCAUCUUUAGUGUGGUGGUUGGAAGGUUUUUUCGGUGUAGGAUGAGCUCGCGGCCUAUCAGCUUGUUGGUGGGGUAAUGGCCUACCAAGGCGGCGACGGGUAGCCGGCCUGAGAGGGUGACCGGCCACAUUGGGACUGAGAUACGGCCCAG